rnacentral:rRNA from 1 species
GUCUAACUCAUGCAAUGUAGAGCGGGGAAGGGUUAGCUUGCUACCUGACCUAGCGGCGGACGGGUGAGUAAUCGCUUAGGAAUCUGCCUAUUAGUGGGGGACAACAUUCCGAAAGGAAUGCUAAUACCGCAUACGCCCUACGGGGGAAAGCAGGGGAUCUUCGGACCUUGCGCUAAUAGAUGAGCCUAAGUCAGAUUAGCUAGUUGGUGGGGUAAAGGCCUACCAAGGCGACGAUCUGUAGCGGGUCUGAGAGGAUGAUCCGCCACACUGGGACUGAGACACGGCCCAGACUCCUACGGGAGGCAGCAGUGGGGAAUAUUGGACAAUGGGCGAAAGCCUGAUCCAGCCAUGCCGCGUGUGUGAAGAAGGCCUUUUGGUUGUAAAGCACUUUAAGCGAGGAGGAGGCUACCGAGAUUAAUACUCUUGGAUAGUGGACGUUACUCGCAGAAUAAGCACCGGCUAACUCUGUGCCAGCAGCCGCGGUAAUACAGAGGGUGCGAGCGUAAUCGGAUUUACUGGGCGUAAAGCGUGCGUAGGCGGCUUUUUAAGUCGGAUGUGAAAUCCCUGAGCUUAACUUAGGAAUUGCAUUCCAUNCUGGGAAGCUAGAGUAUGGGAGAGGAUGGUAGAAUUCCAGGUCUAGCGGUGAAAUGCGUAGAGAUCUGGAGGAAUACCGAUGGCGAAGGCAGCCAUCUGGCCUAAUAC